UUAUCCACCGGGACCGCUCCUGCCUCCUCCGGACCCCCUCCCGCGGCGUGCGAGGGAGGGAAGGAGGGAGGCGGCUCUUUUCGGUGGGGCUUCCCCCGCGCCGGGAGUUUCGUGUCCGUGCAGGGGGUGCGGCCGCGGACUGGAGGAGGGAGAGAAACGAAAGUGGCGGAUGGUAACACGGAAGUGAACACGGUGGGCCCCGGCGGGAAGCUUGACUUGGGCGAUCAGGCGGCGACAGCGACCUUGAUCCGACGCGGGACAUGCCCCCACGCCGCCCGGGCGCAGGGACAGCCGUCACCCGCAGCUCAGGAACCCGCGACAGGUGAGGUCGUAGGCCGUGGUGGCGGAAGGGGAAUGCCGGACAUCCCGCUCCUCGUUAGUAUAGUGACGUUCCUCGACUGGGUUUGUGCCGAGAGUCAAAAGAACAAUCAUUCCGGGGCUGGGAACAGUGUGAAGUGCUGUUUAGAGACCCUGGGGGCAACGGGCAACACCUGAUCCAUCUCUGACCUCCUCGGCAAAGGAGCUGGCCUGAGGCAGGGGUGUUAUCCUGUCGUGACCACAGCUGACAUGCUCAAUGCUGAAAGAUUUUCUCCUCAAAUGGACAGCCAGCCUUCCCCUCUCCUCAGGUAACAUGGUGCCCCAACCUGGACUCUCCCAGAUACUGAUCAGCCAAGUCAUGCUACUGCAGCAUCAAAAUACAUGUGAUUAAGUACCACCUUUUCCACAACUUCCUGAAAGCAGAGUUUAAGGUUUAAAAUCAUAUCAAAUAUUCCCUUUAUUCUUUACAAAAAUGUGUUUAAGCAUCCAAACAUUUUCUAAGGGUAAGCAGUGCUAUUUAGGCACAGAUAAUGCUUUCAUUUCACUGGGAGAACACUUCACAGUAAUUUGCCAUUUUGCAGUCAAUCACAUGAGUUGAGAAAGUCCUAAAACAUGCACAGUAGCCCUGUGAGGCCAUCACCAGUCCUUCACAAGGCAACAGCAACAGGGGGUGACAAUAUUAGCCCAUCAAUCGAAAAGAGUGAGUUCACGUAUUUGCAAGUUGUAACAAGUCUACAGCAUAAGUAAGGCACCAGGCAAGAUAUAAAUAGACACAAUGAAACGCCAUGCAACAGCAGUGCGAAUGAACUGGUUCGCAGGCGUUCCCGUUCUCUCAAAUGGCUCAGUGUGAGCAAUCCAUCUUCUUCAUGAUCCGUGUCAGUGCACCCAGUCUUUGGGAUUUCGCAGAACCUCCAGGAUUUCUGCUUCUUUGGAGCUCUCUGGCGGGGUGUGCAUGUACUCCCACCUGCAGGGAGAGGGGAAACUCACUCAGACUGCCCAGCUGGCUGCCACCUCUCCCGGACCAGGCAGUGUUUGGACUGAAGUUGCCUUUUUUGGGCAUGCAAAGCUAAAUACACAGUUGAUACUCAGCUCAGGAGACAGAUAUGUAAGUAAGUUCAGUAAAAACAAAUAUUAUCAACACCGGGGAACACAGGAAAAAUGUUAGCUUCAUCUUUUUACCAACUUCUGAAAAAGCUGAAAGAACAAGGAAAAAGGGAAGAGCAAUGCCCCCGUGCCCCAAAAUGCAUGCAGGUUGAUUUGCAAAAAUCUUCUAGCAGUCUCUUGUGACAUACUAACAUCCCAAGGAAGAUGAGUAGAAAAGGAACCCACAGAAUUUUCACAGUGAGGACACAAGAUUUAGGUUUUCCAGAAUAUGGACUGGAAGCUCUACAAGUCCUUGUUGAAUCUUGGUUUUAAAAACAAAGGUGAUGAAAGAUCGCUUUUUUAUUGAAAAGGCAAUUAAAAGAGGCGUGACAGAGAAAGCAUCAGCAGUCAGAGAUGGGUACAUCCUCUUUCCAUUUUUUCCCCAGGAAGGAACCAUUCAUGCUGUGAAGCAAGCUAUUUACACUGAUGAAAACAAGCAAAACCAGAUCAUCCUAGAAACGAAAUCAGAAGAUAGGAGUGUGCUACACCACCAGGUCAGGGACUCAUGUAGUGUUGGCAGUGGGAUGAAGGUAUAUGGUGAGAAAAGGACUGCCUUCAUGGUAAGGGGUAGCAGGCAAAGGGAGGAAGGAGGUGGAAGGAGGUCACUAGUAAACUUUACGGAAUUCAUGAUAGGGUCUGUGCUACUCAGUGUUACCUAAAAGCAACCUGAAAAUGGGGGUAAACAGUAAGUGACUGAAUUUCCUGAUAUUGCAAGAGUAAGCAAGAUGGGUUAAAACAAAAAAAGCCGUUGAAAACAGUUAGUAUUAAGCCAAGCAACAGAGCAAUAAAAUGGCAGGUGAAAUUCACUGUUGAUGGUGUGAAGUGAUGGACACAGAAAAAGCUGUAUACAGAUUGACUUAAAUUUGAGUUCAAUUUUAUUGCCCAGAAAAGACUCUCGCAUUGUAACAGUUCUAUGAAAAAGCCAGCUUAAUGCUGAGCAGCAGUCAAAACCAGCAAACAGAAUACUAGGAUUAUGAAAGGAAUAAUGAAUUAAAACUUCAUUAUGCCACUGUAUGAUCUUGGAUACACAUAUGUAUCUUAUGGUGUUGGUUCCUUAUCCCUAGUUCAGAAAGGGCACAGAAAACUUAAGCCUAGAGAAAGUGGCAAAUGUGAUCAAAAGGAUGGAACAGUGACUGUACAAAGACUAAAAAUACCAGGAAUCGUUAGCCUGGAAAACUGGCAAUGAAAAAACAGAAGUUUGUAAAAUAAGAACAGUUAUGGAGAAACACAACAGCAAGAAAAUCAUGUUACUCAGUGAAAAAUCAAACGAAGCCAUCAGAGGCAAGUAGAAAACGAAGAGGCACUUUUUCAUACAACACACAGUUAAACUAUGAAGCUCCUUGUCACACAUUUGUCAGGACUGCCAGAAUCUCACAUGAUUUCAAAGAGCUACUAAACAAAAAUCCAUGGAGCAAGGAGAGAAAAAUCUAUCAAGAGGUACUAAGCAGAAAAACCAUCCAUUUUUUUUGUCAGAAAAUAUCUCAGCCACACACUACUGGCAACUAGCUGAGUGUAGGAGAUCAGAGAAGCAUCUGCAUGUAUUUGGGCAGUUCUUGUAUCAGGCAUGAACUAGCCACUGUAAAGUGAUGGGACACCACGACAGACCUUUGAUUUAAUCCUAUUAACUAUUUUAAUAAGAACAGUAACCUACCUGCAGUCCCACAUAGCUACACCCUUACCUUGCAGUCAGGGGCAGAGACAUAAGAAUGCUUUCAAUCCUUGAUCCUGGUGUCAGGAGGCCAAACUUUGUACCUCUGUCAUAAACCAAGUUGAACUCUACAUACCUACAGGGAGUGAAGAGAUGCAAAGAAAAAACAAGUUUAUUAGCAGAAGUUGGUUGUGCCUUCUUCAACUAGCAGAUAACAAACAAAACCAGCCUAUCUUUCUGCUGUGUUGGGUGUCAGAAUGAACCCUGUUUUGGAGUGAACUGUUCUUCAGCAUCCUCUGCAGGAAUGCAAUUAUCACCUUGCCACUCCACAAAGCACAGGGAGUAGUGACCUUGGCAAACAGACUAGAGCAGACAAACUGUUCAAAGGAGAGCAUUCUGCAGGCUGCUGUACUGUGCUAUGCUUCUCCCAGGCCUCAACCCUGCUGACAAGCUCGACACCGUGUUUACCUUGGUUUUCUCUUUUGUGUGGUGGCAUCAGACAUAAAGAGGGGCCUUAAAGGAACUGAGAAUAACCAGAGAAAGAAUUCUACUGUGCAGUCCUCUAUGCUGAAGGACACAUAAGCAGUAAGGUCUGAACAGUAUUUUUUGUUUCUUGGGGAGAUCUGGAAAGAAGCAGAAGUCAAACAGCUUCAGAGUGCUGGCUAGGAGUUGUAAUAUCAAAAUAUACCACUUUUCUGCCCACAGUAUAGGAACAGAGCAGUGACAAUUCAUCAGGGAUUAUCUUAGUAGCUAGUACAGAUGUGUUAGUAUUUAACAGAGAUAAAGGAAGGGAAGAGUUCUUACCUAUCUGCAAAAAUGGAAAGCUUUACCUAGCCAAACAACCUGCAAACAGACACAGGGAAAUAGGCAGGCCUCAAGAGCUGGUUCUGGCUGCAGCUUAAAGAAGCUGUUCCCCCUUAUAAACUUAGCAAGUUUGCUAAAUCCCAUCCACAGACUGGAUCCUGGAAGCCCCACGUUCCCAGGAACGGUCCCACCAAAUUAAGGACACUUGCUUAUCUGACUAAUGGCUGCAGGCCAGUGAUCUAAACUUAAAUGCUUAUACUCUUUCCAUGCCAGUAUCACAGAUUUCUCUGCAGAAGAGACAGAAACUGAAGACCCUACUCCUGCACAAAGCAUGUGUGUUCUCAUUUUUCCAUGUGCUUACACAAUCACAGGAUACAGGGAACGGAGUACAACUGUAUUGACCAGUGUACUUAAGCUUUUGCAACAUUAACAGCUGGUCACAUUAGAAGCAUCCUCCAAAGUCUUUUAAGUUACAGCAACUUUGGACCAUGCCAGAAUAAAAAAACCCAACCCUCUGUAUCUUUACUCCUUUACAGGAAUCCUCAUUUCAAUGCCAAGAUCAGAUGGAACAAAUAUGUAUGUAAGAACGUGAAGGUACUUGAGCACAGUUACUUCUUGACUUUGUGAAGUUUUGUUUCAUUACUGAACAGGAAGCACAAUUCCCUCACCCUCAGGCUCCUCAUGUGACAAGGGUAGUCCUAUAUCCCAUAUGAUUGGGCCGCAGGAGAGGGCUGGAUUCAGGACACCAAGCACACCCAUACCCCUUUGCCGGUUGCACAACAGCAGCUUCUCUUGGUUUUUGAAAGAGCUGGAGAAAAACUGUGGCAUUUUGUUUGUGUUGCUUGUAUUCUAACAUGGGAAAGUGGGAAAUACAGAUAAGGGCGUGCUACUACCUUCUUUGCACCCCUUUUGGCAACUUAGCAUUGGAUUUCAAAAUUAGUUCUGUGCACAAAAAUGCUGAAAUUCUCUGAUGAACUUUUUUAGCCCACACUACAACAGGACAUUAACCUGUAACCAUAAAGAACUAGCUCAGUUUUUUUCUUGCCAGCAUAAUCCACCUCCUGUGUAUUCUUUAGCUCCUUCAGUACUCACCGUCCUCUCCGAAGCUGCUGCCAUAGCUUUUCCUCUGGCGUGAAGGAGUCAUGGCGGUGCUUUUUCACAAUGGGAAUGUAACAAGGCACAACAGCUUUGGCACAACUCUUCACAAACUGGAACACUUCCUCCUUGGAGGGAGAGUCCACGUCGUCAAAGAAUAUGCCUCCAAUCCCUCUUCGCUCGCCACGGUGCUUGAUAUAGAAGUAGUCAUCACACCUAGAAGAAGUACCAGAUGUUUAUUAAUAUGGUCCACAGUAUUGAAAGCAAUGAACAGAACUCCAAACAGCUAUGUGGCACAGGACUAGCACUGACCAGAAGUCAGUUCCUGCAUUGCCCAGUGCCCCACUGUUUUACUGACUACCGAGAGCCAGGAUGGUGCAGCACCCUCUGGAAAGCACUCCUGUGUCACUUGCAGUAAAGCUCUGAUUAGACGGUCUCUGCAAAGCUACAUGUCACCACACAGUCACUGAACAGUAACACUCAAACACUAUGGCAGCUGCAUCCACAUGGAGUGAUCCAAUCCAUAUCCCCUACCUACUCAGAACAGGGUCACCUGAUCUCAAAACUUCGCCCUAAGAGCUCUUGCUAGAUUUCAUUCCCAGCGUUAUAUGCAGAUCCCAAAUUAUUUGUACAGCUUUCAGUUUAAUUCAGACUUGGAAGGGAAUUUCUUUAUUAUUUUUGCCAUUCUAGUAAAAGAAUUGAUUUUCUUCAUCAAAACAAAAGGGAUCUAAAAACCUAAGACCAGAUAAGAAAGCAAGUGUCAUGGCAGCCUUCCUUGGAAAAAGGCUUUUUAAUAGUUAAAACCUGUAAGAUUGAGUCAUCAUAGCAGUGGCUUUUCAUGGCUUAUGUUCAAGUUUAUAAAUGUGUAAGGGCAGUUUAUUCUACAACAGAAAGGCAAUUAAUCUCUUUUGUAUUUACAGGGGGUAUGUAGCUGUGCAAUUACUAUAUAUAAAUGAUUCAUUGUAUCCACACCCUAUCUCGCUUAGAGUUGCUUUAUUGGGCAGUCAUGCCCUGAAAGUCUUCAUAUAGAAAAGAAAUGGAAAGAAAAUAGGAAGCAGAAACCAUCAACAUUAAGAACACCUUGCCUUCUUUUAGAACUAGUUUUCCAUACAUGUGUCCAUCCUCAAUCAUUCUCAAGCAAUAUAUAUGGCAUGGCCAAAGCAGAAGAGACAUGGAGAUGUAACUGCUAACGUAAGUUAUUUUUUUAUUCACUGUGAUGAUCAGCUUUUUUAUUUAAUGGCAGCAGGAAGAGUUAAUAAAAAGGCUGAGUGAGAAAUGCAAAAAGAGAACAAGGCUGACAAAAGUCUUAAACCUAGAUCAGGAAGACAAUGUGGUAAAUGUAACAAUAGCUUUUAUCUUUGAGAAAGGUGGGAAAAGGUCUCCGACCCCACCCCCACCCCACAGCUGCCUACUUAGGCUGCAGACGACCUGACCAUUAAGGCACAUACUCUGAACUACCAUGCAAAAACUCCUCAGAGAACAAGACUGUAAUCUCAAGGCUCUAAGUUGUAUCUCCUUAUUAAGUGGUUGCCACCCAAACUAUAACACCCACUUUAUCUCCUGUCCUCAGAGGAGACCUAGUGCCUUACAAAAGGGUAUCCCCUCCUUCCUGGAUACCACAGCCUGUGGCAGAUAGGAUUAUCAGACACAGAGCAGCAAGCCGCCGCUUACUAGUGAAGGAUCAGAUCACUUGUAUCUCUUAGCUCAAGAAGAACAUUCAAAGUUUGCAUCUUAGAGAAUAUGCUGUUGAACUCACAGUGAAUUUUUCACCGGGGAAAAAACUACAGCUUCAUCUAAAUUAUGACGCUUCUACAUUAAGGACAAUCUCCUUUACUUACCUGGAAAAAAACCAGAAAAACAAAACAGGCCAUGAUGGUCAGAGUGAAGACAGAAAAAUCUGAGUGGGAUUUUCAGAACCACAACGCUGGCCCAAGAGCUCACACUGAAUCAUGCACAUUUACCAUGAGCUCACUGUAAGCACGAUUUGUGCAAGUCCACGGGGAAAAAAUCUUGUCCUAGUUUAACACUAGAGGUUAAAAGGAAUUUUUAAGUUGCCUAGUGAAGUCUGUGGCUUACAACCACUCUUGUAGAGUCAGCCUGGUUUUUAUUUGGGCUAUAGACUUAUGAUCCUAGUUGUCAGCCCCCUAAUUUGAAAGGGCUGACAGGCUUCUGUAAAUAAGAGAUUUCUUCAGACUACAUUUUGUCCCAGUACACUUCCGCUAAUUUUUCUUAGGGUUUGCUGAUACUUUUUAAAAGGCAGCAGAACCUACAGUUCUUAGAGUACACUUAACUGGCAACAUCUAGUGCUGCUUUCUACUCCCCCCCAAGUGCAUCUCUCCCCACAUACCAUUUCUUGUACUUGGGAUACAGCUUCAGAUCAUGCUUGUCACAGGCUUCUUUCAGAGUCUUGUGAAAAUGAACAGCAUCCUCUUCAUUCAGGUAAGUUGGAGUGAGAUCAGUCCCACCACCAAACCACCACUGCUUAGUUCCUAUAAGAGAGGAAAGCAGCAACAUUUUUCUUUUACACUUCUAAACAGCAAGGUUCACGUAGCAUUAACAACUACUUUUAAAAUACAAAACAAAAUCAUUAUUCAGUGGUGCCCCUAAACCUCGGUCAUGAAAAAUUUGACUUCAAGGUAGUGAACUUCCAUUUCCAGUGACUUCAGGAAAACAUGAAAGACAUUUCAAAGCAGUUAAAACCAGUCAUUCAGUAUUUUGGACCACUGAUCCACAGAAUAUCAGUUUCACAAGAUGGGCUGGCAACUCUUAUUCAAGAAUGCAGAAACAUUUUACUGUGUGCCAAAGAAAGGGAACAUCAUUAUUACAUCCAGGGAAGUAACUGGCUAGAAAUGAUCCAUAAUGCUGUGGCAAAACAACUGAAAGAAAACUCUCUUUGAGCUUCUGACAGUACAUACACUGUCACAAGAUACAGAUGGCCCUUCAGUGUUUGACCACCUAGACAAGGGUCCCAUUUCUGACAGUGCCAAGUUGCAGAAAGUUGGGGAAAUAAGGCACAAUGCAGUCAGUGAGCAGUGUUUCUGACAGUACGUCCUUCCAGCUGCUGAGACAAAGGCACAUCAUGACCAGAAUGUUUAUCAGCCCUUCACAAACAUUUCUCCUUCUAAAUUCUAGGAUUGCUGCUCUGAAUGUAUUUCACAUUUAUUUACAAUCUCCUACGUUUUUAACUUCGAUCUGAAACCCCCGGUAUACUCUACAAAAAGCAAACCCCUUUUACUCUACCACAUGCACUCGUUACACUCAUUUUACAAAUGCACAAAGGCCAGAGAUAAGGAGAUCCAAUGCUAAACAACAGAUUCUUGGCACAGCUGGGAACAAACCUGGACUGGUUCUUAACCUCUUACCCUAGCCAUGCAUUCACGCUUCCUUCAUGUGAAGUCAUACAUUUCAUACAUGCUUCAUUGGAUUAAAAUUCUUACCAUCUGC